UAACGAAAUCUUAUUUUGCCAUGAAGUAGUAGAAGAUGAGAUAUGGGGAGAAAUAGAGGGUGACGGCAGGAAGGGAGAUAGGAGAGAAAGAAGGAAAAAAUAUAAUUAAAUUGAAGCCUUUUAAGGUGGAUUGUAUAUAUUUAAUAAAUAAAAUUUAUUUAUGCCGGGUAUCUCAAAUCCCGACUGACCCGCAAGAAAAAACCUGUCAAGGAAGGACACACAAUAAUCCUGAAUCGAAUUGCUAAUUAUGUGUCAACCUUCCCGAUGCAUUUUCUGCAACAAUUCGUCACAUGCUGCCUCUCCCUUCUCGGGGUGCUAAAACACCCAUUCUUAUCCAUCUACUAUCUUCUUUCUAUAAAUAGCAAAUAUAGAAUUUAGAAGGAAAUUAAGCAUAUAUAUCUAGUGUAGAUAGAGAAACAGAGAGAAUGUUGAUGGGGAUAAGCUUGCAAUGCAUGAUGGACUUGGUCGUUGCUGGUUUUUCCCUUAUGAUUGGAUUAGGGAUUUUCGCUUUCAUUGCUUCAAUUCUCUGUUCUGCUGCUUUUUACCAGAAUGCUAAGCAACUUUCUUGAAUCUACACUCCCUUAUGGAUUUAUUAGGGUAGAUAUCGACACUACAGAGGUUAUUUAAAGCCAAAAACAAAAACAAAAAAAGAUGGCAGACAAAAAUUCAAGAAAUAAAAGGGGUUUCUCCACUGUCCUUUUUACUUAAUCAGGCACUAUUGUUGUUUGUAUGCCAGGAGCUGCUGGAGAGAUGAACUAACUGAUUAGCAGUAAUAGUUAUGCUGUUUGUAAUAGAUAGAGAGAAGUAUUUCCUCGUAGAAAAAAGGCAUUUGUAUGCAAUAGUAGAAUGAAUAUGCAGUUUUGAGACGGCGGGUAUUGUCUAUUUUUUUUUAUAUUUUCUUGUGUUCUAGAAUGUUGUGUCUUACUAUCUCGCUUUUCAAUGCAGGGCCUUUUUAUUAGCUUUGCA